CUUUUAUUUCAGAGGAAUCCGUUCCGCAAGCAAGAAAGCAUUCCAGGAUGGUGUGUGUGCCUGGAAGCCCUGUCUGUCAGCAGAUGUCACUGCCUCCACCAUCUGCAUAUGAGUCAACACCAUACAGGCAACCAGCUCAUUGCCCAGAGCUGGAUGGGUCUAUUAUAACGCCUGCCACUUCAUCUUGGGACCCAGUUGAAGGUACAGUGUCUUUGAAUUUUCCAUUUCCAAGUAAAUACAAUUUCAUGACAAGGAACUUGAGAGUAACUAACUUUUUUUUGUUGUAAACAGCACAUGACUUAUCACACAGAGGGAGGUGGCUUGGCCAUGGAGACGAAAAUAAGAGGAAAAAGAAGACUCACUUAAUUUGUUCACAUAUGCAAGUAUAUAAUGCAUUUAACAACUAAAACUAACACCAUCCAUUUUUCCAUAGCAAUAAGGACAACCAUUACCGCAUGGCACAGCGAAUGGACGCAUUUGAGGAGAAGAUGGAUGAGCUGCUCAUGCUCUUAAGGAGCUCCCAGUCACCUCCCUCUGCCCAGUCGAUGACCUAUUGCUGUCGUCCUGCUCGACAGUCACUGAGCUGCAGGAGAGGAGGAACAAAAUGCCCUCCCUCCAGGACUUGGUCUCUGCCCGCUUAGGUCCCAGAGUACAUCACCAAAGACUCCACAUAUCCUGCACACACACUCUUUAACUUCCUCCCCUCUGGCAGGCGCUACAGAUCCCUGCACACAAAAACAACCAGACACAAGAACAACUCUCUUCCCACUGCCGUCACUCUCCUAAACUGCAGAUAAGUGGGGUCAUCCCCACUUUGACCAUUCACCUGCACAUUACAUACUUUAUCAUUCCAAUAUGUGUCUUGCACACUACAUUUGCACUAUUACUUUGCACUCUACAUCACACUCCAUGUGUACUUAUAUUGGUAUUAUGUCUUAUUUCUA